rnacentral:rRNA from 1 species
UACGAAGGGGACUAGCGUUGUUCGGAAUACUGGGCGUAAAGCGUGCGCAGGCGGUUGUGCAAGACAGAUGUGAAAUCCCCGGGCUCAACCUGGGAAUUGCAUUUGUGACUGCACGGCUAGAGUGUGUCAGAGGGGGGUAGAAUUCCACGUGUAGCAGUGAAAUGCGUAGAGAUGUGGAGGAAUACCGAUGGCGAAGGCAGCCCCCUGGGAUAACACUGACGCUCAUGCACGAAA